rnacentral:tRNA from 1 species
AACAAUAGCUAACUAAAUGUGUAUCAGCGCGGAGGUUUCAGCUUCCCAAGCUGAGGGUCGCGGGUUCGACCCCCGUCUAUCG